rnacentral:rRNA from 1 species
AUUGAACGCUGGCGGCAGGCUUAACACAUGCAAGUCGAGCGAGCGGCGGACGGGUGAGUAAUGUCUGGGAAACUGCCUGAUGGUGGGGGAUAACUAAUGGAAACGGUAGCUAAUACCGCAUACCAUCAGAUGUGCCCAGAUGGGAUUAGCUAGUAGGUGGGGUAAGGGCUCACCUAGGAGACGAACCCUAGCUGGUCUGAGAGGAUGACCUGCCACAGUGGAGAUGAGACACGGUCCAGACUCCGACGGUAGGCAGAAGUGGGGAAUAUUGCACAAUGGGCGCAAGCCGGCUGCAGCCAUGCCGCUUGUGUGAAGAAGGCCUGCGGGUUGUAAAGCACUUUCAGCGAGGAGGCGUUACUCGCAGAAGAAGCACCGGCUAACUCCGUGCCAGCAGCCGCGGUAAUAC